rnacentral:rRNA from 1 species
UACGUAGGGGGCAAGCGUUGUCCGGAAUCAUUGGGCGUAAAGAGCGUGUAGGCGGCCCGAUAAGUCCGCCGUGAAAGUCCAGGGCUCAACCCUGGGAUGCCGGUGGAAACUGUCGGGCUAGAGUCCGGAAGAGGCGAGUGGAAUUCCGUGGUGUAGCGGUGAAAUGCGCAGAUAUCAGGAGGAACACCGAGUGGCGAAGGCAGCUCGCUGGGACGGUACUGACGCUGAGACGCGAAAGCGUGGGGAGCGAACAGG